rnacentral:rRNA from 1 species
GGGUGCAGCAGGCGCGAAAACUUUACAAUGCGGGAAACCGUGAUAAGGGGACACCGAGUGCCAGCAUCAUAUGCUGGCUGUCCGGGUGUGUAAAAUACACCUGUUAGCAAGGGCCGGGCAAGACCGGUGCCAGCCGCCGCGGUAACACCGGCGGCCCGAGUGGUGAUCGUGAUUAUUGGGUCUAAAGGGUCCGUAGCCGGUUUGGUCAGUCCUCCGGGAAAUCUGACAGCUCAACUGUUAGGCUUUCGGAGGAUACUGCCAGACUUGGAACCGGGAGAGGUAAGAGGUACUACAGGGGUAGGAGUGAAAUCUUGUAAUCCCUGUGGGACCACCUGUGGCGAAGGCGUCUUACCAGAACGGGUUCGACGGUGAGGGACGAAAGCUGGGGGCACGAACCGGAUUAGAUACCCGGGUAGUCCCAGCCGUAAACGAUGCUCGCUAGGUGUCAGGCAUGGCGCGACCGUGUCUGGUGCCGCAGGGAAGCCGUGAAGCGAGCCACCUGGGAAGUACGGCCGCAAGGCUGAAACUUAAAGGAAUUGGCGGGGGAGCAC